GAUGAACGCUAGCGGCAGGCUUAAUACAUGCAAGUCGUGGGGCAGCGCAGGUAGCAAUACUGGGCGGCGACCGGCAAACGGGUGCGGAACACGUACACAACCUUCCGAGAAGUGGGGAAUAGCCCAGAGAAAUUUGGAUUAAUACCCCGUAACAUAACGAUGUGGCAUCACAUUGUUAUUAUAGCUUCGGCGCUUCUUGAUGGGUGUGCGGCUGAUUAGAUAGUUGGCGGGGUAACGGCCCACCAAGUCUACGAUCAGUAGCUGAUGUGAGAGCAUGAUCAGCCACACGGGCACUGAGACACGGGCCCGACUCCUACGGGAGGCAGCAGUAAGGAAUAUUGGUCAAUGGACGCAAGUCUGAACCAGCCAUGCCGCGUGAAGGAUUAAGGUCCUCUGGAUUGUAAACUUCUUUUAUCUGGGACGAAAAAAGGCGAUUCUUCGUCACUUGACGGUACCAGAUGAAUAAGCACCGGCUAACUCCGUGCCAGCAGCCGCGGUAAGAC
rnacentral:rRNA from 1 species